UACGUAGGGCGCAAGCGUUGUCCGGAAUUAUUGGGCGUAAAGAGCUCGUAGGCGGCCUGUUGCGUCCGCUGUGAAAUCCCGGGGCUUAACCCCGGGCGUGCAGUGGAUACGGGCGGGCUGGAGGCAGGCAGGGGAGAACGGAAUUCCUGGUGUAGCGGUGAAAUGCGCAGAUAUCAGGAGGAACACCGGUGGCGAAGGCGGUUCUCUGGGCCUGUUCUGACGCUGAGGAGCGAAAGCGUGGGGAGCGAACAGG
rnacentral:rRNA from 1 species